rnacentral:rRNA from 1 species
AUGCCCGCCGGGGCGUUGCCAACCUGGACGCCCUGGUCCAGAUCCUGCGCGUGCUGGAGGAGGAGCUGGAGGACGAACCCCCUACCGCCCGCGUCAGGAAGUUCUUCGGCUACGUCUACGUCCCGCCGCCACCACCGCCUCCGGCCAACGGCGCAGGUCCAGCAGGAGGCGCAGCAGCAGCAGGCGCCGUGUAGCCGGCCGCCGGACACGGUUUCCAAUUGCUUGGCCUCAACUUUUGCUUUUCUCCUGCACCAUAUCGAUCGAUCCCAUGAUCCCAUCUACAAAUUGAACAGUCUUGGUGAGAUAACUCAAUCAGAUCGUACCCGAGUCCCUGACUGCCAUGCAUCUUCAGUUCCGGUGAGACAAGUAAAAUUUUAUGUGACAAGAACUCAGACAUGCACCAAAUUUCAUGUGAUUUUUAUUUUUAUGUCUGAAAAAUGGUUGGAUAUAUGGUACAUGUAG